rnacentral:rRNA from 1 species
GACGAACGCUGGCGGCGUGCUUAACACAUGCAAGUCGAACGGAAAGGCCCUGCUUUUGUGGGGUGCUCGAGUGGCGAACGGGUGAGUAACACGUGAGUAACCUGCCCUUGACUUUGGGAUAACUUCAGGAAACUGGGGCUAAUACCGGAUAGGAGCUCCUGCUGCAUGGUGGGGGUUGGAAAGUUUCGGCGGUUGGGGAUGGACUCGCGGCUUAUCAGCUUGUUGGUGGGGUAGUGGCUUACCAAGGCUUUGACGGGUAGCCGGCCUGAGAGGGUGACCGGCCACAUUGGGACUGGGAUACGGCCCAGACUCCUACGGGAGGCAGCAGUGGGGAAUAUUGCACGAUGGGCGGAAGCCUGAUGCAGCAACGCCGCGUGCGGGAUGACGGCCUUCGGGUUGUAAACCGCUUUCGCCUGUGACGAAGCGUGAGUGACGGUAAUGGGUAAAGAAGCACCGGCUAACUACGUG